GUGCCUUGCUCAAGGGUCUCACCUCUGCCAUGGUAUUGAAGGUGGUAGAGAGUGUUUGUACAUUCACUCACACCUACAAUCCCUGGCAGUACUGAGACUCAAACCUGCAA
ensembl:miRNA dre-mir-2191 dre-mir-2191